CAUCGCGAUGCUCUUCAAUCAUGGAGACAUCGUGAUGAGGAUACUUUCAAAGCGCCAGCUCAAGGAGCUGGUCCUCUACUCGCCGCAACACGUCGCGCGGCUGGAAAAGGCAGGCCAAUUCCCCAAGCGGGUACAGCUGGGCCCGAACAGAGUGGGAUGGGUUGAGGACGAAGUGCUGGACUGGCUUCAGCAACGGCUGGAUGGCCGCGAAGAGUCCAACCGACACUCCUGAUACAGGAGCCGGGUGGCCAGGCGUGCACAGCUU
rfam:Ruegeria pomeroyi DSS-3, complete genome.